rnacentral:rRNA from 1 species
AUUGAACGCUGGCGGCAGGCUUAACACAUGCAAGUCGAGCGGAGACUUCGGUCUUAGCGGCGAACGGGUGAGGAAUGCCUGGGAAUCUGCCUGUUUGUGGGGGAUAACGAAUCGAAAGGUUCGCUAAUACCGCAUACGUCCUACGGGAGAAAGCAGGGGACCUUCGGGCCUUGCGCUAACAGAUGAGCCCAGGUCGGAUUAGCUAGUUGGUGGGGUAAAGGCUCACCAAGGCGACGAUCCGUAGCUGGUCUGAGAGGAUGAUCAGCCACACUGGAACUGAGACACGGUCCAGACUCCUACGGGAGGCAGCAGUGGGGAAUAUUGGACAAUGGGCGAAAGCCUGAUCCAGCCAUGCCGCGUGUGUGAAGAAGGCCUC